GUGGAUUAGAUACCGUGGUAGUCCACGCCGUAAACGAUGUCAACUAGCCGUUGGGAACCUUGAGUUCUUAGUGGCGCAGCUAACGCAUUAAGUUGACCGCCUGGGGAGUACGGCCGCAAGGUUAAAACUCAAAUGAAUUGACGGGGGCCCGCACAAGCGGUGGAGCAUGUGGUUUAAUUCGAAGCAACGCGAAGAACCUUACCAGGCCUUGACAUGCAGAGAACUUUCCAGAGAUGGAUUGGUGCCUUCGGGAACUCUGACACAGGUGCUGCACGGCCGUCGACAGCU
rnacentral:rRNA from 1 species